rnacentral:rRNA from 1 species
UAUAGGUCAAUGGGGGAAACCCUGAACCAGCAACGCCGCGUGAGGGAAGACGGUUUUCGGAGUGUAAACCUCUGUCCUCUGUGAAGAUAAUGACGGUAGCAGAGGAGGAAGCUCCGGCUAACUACGUGCCAGCAGCCGCGGUAAUACGUAGGUGGCAAGCGUUGUCCGGAAUUACUGGGUGUAAAGGGAGCGUAGGCGGUUAUGCAAGUUGAAUGUGAAAUCUAUCGGCUCAACUGAUAGGCUGCGUUCAAAACUGUAUAUCUUGAGUGAAGUAGAGGCAGGCGGAAUUCCUAGUGUAGCGGUGAAAUGCGUAAAUAUUAGGAGGAACACCAGUGGCGAAGGCGGCCUGCUGGGCUUUAACUGACGCUGAGGCUCGAAAGCGUGGGUAGCAA